UGCCAGCAGCCGCGGUAAUACGGAGGGAUCUAGCGUUAUUCGGAAUUACUGGGCGUAAAGAGUUCGUAGGUGGUUGAAAAAGUUGGUGGUGAAAUCCCAGAGCUUAACUCUGGAACUGCCAUCAAAACUUUUCAGCUAGAGUAUGAUAGAGGAAAGCAGAAUUUCUAGUGUAGAGGUGAAAUUCGUAGAUAUUAGAAAGAAUACCAAUUGCGAAGGCGCUCUACUGGAUCAUUACUGACACUCAGAGGCGAAAGCUAGGGUAGCAAAAGGGAUUAGAUA
rnacentral:rRNA from 1 species